rnacentral:ncRNA from 1 species
AAUUAGAGUUGGCAAACUGCUUGAAAAAGUAGGACGCAAAGCUUGGAGUCUAAGGUGUUUCUACUAUGACGGUUCAGCUGCAGUU